UCAAAGAUUAAGCCAUGCAUGUCUAAGUAUAAGCAACUAUUCGGUGAAACUGCGAAUGGCUCAUUAAAUCAGUUAUCGUUUAUUUGAUAGUACCUUACUACAUGGAUAACCGUGGUAAUUCUAGAGCUAAUACAUGCUAAAAGCCCCGACUUCGGAAGGGGUGUACUUAUUAGAUAAAAAACCAAUGCCCUUCGGGGCUCCUUGGUGAAUCAUAAUAAUUUCACGAAUCGCAUGGCCUUGCGCCGGCGAUGGUUCAUUCAAAUUUCUGCCCUAUCAACUUUCGAUGGUAGGAUAGUGGCCUACCAUGGUUUCAACGGGUAACGGGGAAUUAGGGUUCGACUCCGGAGAGGGAGCCUGAGAAACGGCUACCACAUCCAAGGAAGGCAGCAGGCGCGCAAAUUACCCAAUGCCGACACGGCGAGGUAGUGACAAUAAAUACUGAUCCAGGGCUCUUUCGGGUCUUGGAAUUGGAAUGAGUUCAAUUUAAAUCCCUUAACGAGGAACAACUGGAGGGCA
rnacentral:rRNA from 1 species